rnacentral:rRNA from 1 species
GAUGAACGCUGGCGGCGUGCCUAAUACAUGCAAGUCGAGCGAACAGACGAGGAGCUUGCUCCUCUGACGUUAGCGGCGGACGGGUGAGUAACACGUGGAUAACCUACCUAUAAGACUGGGAUAACUUCGGGAAACCGGAGCUAAUACCGGAUAAUAUAUUGAACCGCAUGGUUCAAUAGUGAAAGACGGUUUUGCUGUCACUUAUAGAUGGAUCCGCGCCGCAUUAGCUAGUUGGUAAGGUAACGGCUUACCAAGGCAACGAUGCGUAGCCGACCUGAGAGGGUGAUCGGCCACACUGGGACUGAGACACGGUCCAGACUCCUACGGGAGGCAGCAGUAGGGAAUCUUCCGCAAUGGGCGAAAGCCUGACGGAGCAACGCCGCGUGAGUGAUGAAGGUCUUCGGAUCGUAAAACUCUGUUAUUAGGGAAGAACAAGUGUGUAAGUAACUAUGCACGUCUUGACGGUACCUAAUCAGAAAGCCACGGCUAACUACGUG